rnacentral:rRNA from 1 species
UACGGGGGGGGCAAGCGUUGUUCGGAAUUACUGGGCGUAAAGGGCUCGUAGGUGGCCAACUAAGUCAGACGUGAAAUCCCUCAGCUUAACUGGGGAACUGCGUCUGAUACUGGAUGGCUUGAGUUUGGGAGAGGGAUGCGGAAUUCCAGGUGUAGCGGUGAAAUGCGUAGAUAUCUGGAGGAAUACCGGUGGCGAAGGCGGCAUCCUGGACCGAGAUUGACACUGAUGAGCGAAAGCCAGGGGAGCAAACGGG